UACGUAGGUGGCAAGCGUUGUCCGGAUUUACUGGGUGUAAAGGGCGUGUAGCCGGGAAGGCAAGUCAGAUGUGAAAUCCACGGGCUUAACUCGUGAACUGCAUUUGAAACUGCUUUUCUUGAGUAUCGGAGAGGCAAUCGGAAUUCCUAGUGUAGCGGUGAAAUGCGUAGAUAUUAGGAGGAACACCAGUGGCGAAGGCGGAUUGCUGGACGACAACUGACGGUGAGGCGCGAAAGCGUGGGGAGCAAACAGG
rnacentral:rRNA from 1 species